UACGUAGGGGGCAAGCGUUGUCCGGAUUUAUUGGGCGUAAAGAGCGUGUAGGCGGUUUGGUAGGUCCGUUGUGAAAACUCGAGGCUCAACCUCGAGACGCCGAUGGAAACCAUCAGACUAGAGUCCGGAAGAGGAGAGUGGAAUUCCCGGUGUAGUGGUGAUAUGCGUAGAUAUCGGGAGGAACACCAGUGGCGAAGGCGGCUCUCUGGGCCUUUCCUGACGCUGAGACGCGAAAGCGUGGG
rnacentral:rRNA from 1 species